rnacentral:rRNA from 1 species
UACAGAGGUCUCAACCGUUGUUCGGAUUCAUUGGGCGUAAAGGGUGCGUAGGCGGUCGCGUAAGUCAGGUGUGAAAUCUCAGGGCUCAACCCUGAAACUGCACUUGAUACUGCGUGGCUCGGGUACUGGAGAGGAGACUGGAAUUUACGGUGUAGCAGUGAAAUGCGUAGAUAUCUGGGGGAAGGCCGGCGGCGAAGGCGCCAUUCUGGGAAUUUCCUGACACUGAGGCGCGAAAGCGUGGGGAGCAAACAGG